rnacentral:lncRNA from 1 species
AAUUAUAUACUCUAUCACUUUUAUAUAAUACAUACAUACAUUAUUAUUAUUAUCAAACAACACCAAACAUAGUGCAGAUUUAAAUCCCCUAGUCAAAUCAAAUAAAUCAAAGUAUGCAAACUGCAAUAUUACGAAAAUUUUAAUAAACCAUAUAACAAUACAAUCAAAUGAAAGCAAUGAGGAACAUAACAAAAUAAAUCCUUCAGGCUUCAAGUUCAUAUAAAAAGUCCCUUUCCACACGUAAGAAAAACAAGUAAUCAAGAGCUAAAGCCAGCUGACACGAUACAUCUAUGCGAAUACACAAUACAUGAUGAUCGAGCUGAAAGACCCUGUGAUGGAUCAGAAACAGGCAUCCAGGACGCAACAACAACACAGGGCAGCACAACACCCUUUCCAGAAUCCAUCACCUCUCGUCUCUGUUUCUGCCGGUCCAGCCGCCGCCGCCUCUGCCGCUGCUCCGCCUUCUUUCGUCGGGUACCCUGCCGGUGCCGGAGCUGCGUACGCUGCUGCAUCAUUAACAUCAUUCCAGUUAGUUCAAUAAAAACAAAUCCACAACUCAACAAAAACAAAAAAAAAAAUAGUAACACACAACAAACCUUGUGGCUCAGCUUGAUCAGUCUUAUCCAUGAUGGUCUAGUAAUAUGUGUGUUUAGAUGAAGAAGUGAGGAGUUAAAUAACGAGUUGGAAGUGGCAGGUUAGAUAUGCUGGGGUGGUUAGUGUUUGACGAUAUGACCUGGUUUAUUAGUUGUGAGGAGAUAGUUAUAUAUAGAGAGUGAGGCAGGUGUUUUGGGAGGCAAGUUAAGCGAGGGCGGCUAAUAUGCAAACGCCGAAUACCGCGUUUUGUAGGCAUAGUCUAAACCUAUUUAAUUGCAAAUUGCGUAUCAAAUCAUGUUAUCUCGGGUCCCAUG